rnacentral:rRNA from 1 species
UGGGGAAUAUUGCACAAUGGGGGAAACCCUGAUGCAGCGACGCCGCGUGGAGGAAGAAGGUCUUCGGAUUGUAAACUCCUGUUGUUGAGGAAGAUAAUGACGGUACUCAACAAGGAAGUGACGGCUAACUACGUGCCAGCAGCCGCGGUAAAACGUAGGUCACAAGCGUUGUCCGGAAUUACUGGGUGUAAAGGGAGCGCAGGCGGGAGAACAAGUUGGAAGUGAAAUCCAUGGGCUCAACCCAUGAACUGCUUUCAAAACUGUUUUUCUUGAGUAGUGCAGAGGUAGGCGGAAUUCCCGGUGUAGCGGUGGAAUGCGUAGAUAUCGGGAGGAACACCAGUGGCGAAGGCGGCCUACUGGGCACCAACUGACGCUGAGGCUCGAAAGUGUGGGUAGCAAACAGGAUUAGAUACCCUGGUAGUCCACACCGUAAACGAUGAUUACUAGGUGUUGGAGGAUUGACCCCUUCAGUGCCGCAGUUAACACAAUAAGUAAUCCACCUGGGGAGUACGACCGCAAGGUUGAAACUCAAAGGAAUUGACGGGGGCCCGCACAAGCAGUGGAGUAUGUGGUUUAAUUCGAAGCAACGCGAAGAACCUUACCAGGUCUUGACAUCCGAUGCAUAACACAGAGAUGUGUGAAAUCCUUCGGGACAUCGAGACAGGUGGUGCAUGGUUGUCGUCAGCUCGUGUCGUGAGAUGUUGGGUUAAGUCCCGCAACGAGCGCAACCCUUAUUGCCAGUUACUACGUUAAGAGGACUCUGGCGAGACUGCCGUUGACAAAACGGAGGAAGGUGGGGAUGACGUCAAAUCAUCAUGCCCUUUAUGACCUGGGCUACACACGUACUACAAUGGCGUUAAACAAAGAGAAGCAAGACCGCGAGGUGGAGCAAAACUCAAAAACAACGUCUCAGUUCAGAUUGCAGGCUGCAACUCGCCUGCAUGAAGUCGGAAUUGCUAGUAAUCGCAGAUCAGCAUGCUGCGGUGAAUACGUUCCC